rnacentral:lncRNA from 10 species
UUUCCACUGGUUAAAAUAAUGGAGUAUGGCAAUUGGAUCCAACAGAAUACCAAGCAUCUUGCUUUGAAAUUUCCUGAGUAUUCAGCCUAGGUAUCUUCAUCAAAUGAAGGGUUUGACCUACUGGCUUUCUGAUUCCUUCAAGAAAUUCUACAUGUAAGUAAAGAGAAAGGAAUGCACUCCUGCCAACACUUGACAUUCGAACACAGCAAGAGAUGCAUCAGACUUCUGAACUACAAAAUGCUAAACUAUACUCUUGUCUCAGUCAUGAUUGAAUACAGACAACUACAGCAAAUUCUUCUAACGACUUCAUUGAUCAGCCACUAUGUGACUUCCAAACCUAACAGCAACACGUCUGAGGAGAGCACCUAAUUGAUGAAAAAGCCAGAUGGUGAUACUUACUGUGAGAAUUGAAGAAACCAAGAAUCUUGGAUUAUGUUAACAUGAACAGUAAUGUUGAUUAACCUUCAUAAAUUCCUCCAAUUGUCUACGUGUAUAAAUGACAAUAAAACAAAAGGACUGCCCUAUUUGAAAUAUUGGCAAGUGAAAUGAUCACUCUGGAGAAUACAGAUCUUUGAAAUCAAUUAUAAUCUAAAUUCCCAAUUACUCUAAUAAAAGGGAAAUGAAUUAGCAAGAUCUGUAUGUUAUAUAAUUCUGAAGCUUCAUCUUUAUAAUAGAUGAAUUGUAAAUGUAUUAGAUCAAAUUUUAAAUUUGUACUAGAUAAAUUGAUUGUGCUAGAUCAAAUUGUAAAGUUGAUCAUUUAUCUGAUCCAUCAUUUAUUCAUGAAGUGCUGAAGUUGUUGUGCCUGGUAAAAAUGAGUGUCAAAUAAAAGUCUACCAUGACUUCUGCAUAAAACCUACAGUAAGUACAGGAAGAUUCUCAGUCAACAAAAACAACUAUAAUUGAGCCUUGAGGUAUAAGCUAUGUCCACUUAAUACUCCAAUUUUCUUCUACCUCUUUCACCCCUGAAACAAUAAGACCAACUACUCUUCCUCAUUCACCUCAGCCUAGUGAACAGUAAGUCUAUUAUGAUGGAAACCUUAAUGAUGAUUCACUUCCACUUAAUAAACAGUAAAUAUAUUUUUUCUUCCUUUGAUAUUCUCAGUAGCAUUUUCUAUUCUUUAGCUUACUUUAUUGUAAGAAUACAGUGUAUAAUACAUGAAACAUAUGAAACAUGUUAAUUGGCUGUCCAUGUUACUGGUAAAGCUUCCAGUGAACAGUAGAUUAUUAGUAGUUAAGUUUUUGAGAAGUCAAAAGUCAUAUAUAGAUUUUUUUAUUGUGCAGGGUGUCAGUUCCCCUAACCCCCGCAUUAUUCAGGAGUCAACUGUAUAUUGUAAAAUUAAAAUGGAUAAGUCAGAGAAUACACUUAUUAACAUGCAAUGGAAGUUUAGGGUAGACAGCCAUAUUUAUUUCUAGGAAAGUCAGCUAUAAAAGGAAUUUUAGUAAUACACCUAUACAUUCUGUCUUCCUUCAGAGAUUAAGAUGGUAGGAUUUAUGACUUAAGUAUGUGAUUCUGGAGACAGACUGAAAGCUCUAUAGAGCAUGCAUAGAUCUCUUUUGAAG